GCAGGGAUGUGGUGCUGGUCACUUCUGAGAGCAGCGCGGGGCCUGUUGCACCACAGGGGGCAAUCCCACGGACCGGAUCCAAAGCCCUGACGGGCCGGAUCUUGCCCACGGGCCAUAGUUUUCCCACCCCUGAUAUGGAGAAUACUGUGU